CCCUUAGAUGUCCGGGGCCGCACGCGCGCUACACUGAAGGAAUCAGCGUGGCUUUCUCCCUGACCCGAAAGGGUUGGGAAACCCGUUGAAUCUCCUUCGUGAUAGGGAUUGGGGCUUGAAAUUGUUCCCCAUGAACGAGGAAUUCCCAGUAAGCGCGAGUCAUAAGCUCGCGUUGAUUACGUCCCUGCCCUUUGUACACACCGCCCGUCGCUACUACCGAUUGAACGGUUUAGUGAGGGCCUCGGAUUGGUCUCGGCCCGCUCUUUAACGGGCGGCGCCGUUGGUCGAGAAGACGCUCGAACUUGAUCGUUUAGAGGAAGUAAAAGUCGUAACA
rnacentral:rRNA from 1 species